AUAGUCGACGAAUAGUGCGAAUAGUCCGCGAAUAGUCGACGAAUAGUGCGAAUAGUCCGCGAAUAGUCGACGAAUAGUGCGAAUAGUCCGCGAAUAGUCGACGAAUAGUACGAAUAAUCCACGAAUAGGCGACGAAUAGUACGAAUAGUGCAAUAGAGACUUUGCAAGGCUUUGCAGCAGUGCUAUAGAACUAAAUUUACCGGGGG